CACUAAUUGAUAAUCCGCUGGCUAUCAUUAUUUUGAAUUUUGCAAUUUCAUUUAAACAUAAUUAAUAUCAUAUUCCAACUAAUUAGUUAUCACACAUUAAAUUGAAUCAUUAAUAUCUUUCGAGGUUUUGAUUAUUACAGGUUUACUUUUGAUUGCAAAUAUAAUUUUUGUGAUUUGAUUCAUUAUUUAUGGUAUAAGUAUUGUAGUCAACUGGUCAAUUUUCGGCCUCCGUUGUUGGGCAUGUCAUUAAUACACUAGCUAGGCACCUUUCUCAGUCUCCUUCACAUGCCAGCUCAAACAGUUUAAAGCUUUAGAAACAAUCGGUUAGUUCUGAGACCUUAUAAAAAGAAAAGAAGCUGUAUACGUUUACAUUCUAGGGCAUAUGACUACUUUCAAUAUUCCCCUAUUACACUAGUUUCAUUCUAUGAUGUCCAUAGCUUCAUUACCACAUCAAAUACUGAAAAAUAUUAGCAACUGAAAAUAUCUAACAAUUAUGUAAUUUUGCAUGAAAAGUGUUUACUACAAUGUACUAAAUAUUUAAUGCCGAUGUUUUUAUGUUUAUUUUUAAGUCCUCCACCUUCUUUGUAAGUCUUUAGUUUGUAUCAGUUUUGGGUGUUGUAAAAAGUGGCAAAUAUAUCAGUCCUAUCCCCCUAACUUUCAUAUUUGUUAGGAAGUAAUACAUGAAUUUCUAGAAAUCUAAAUCAAAUGCAUGUCUAAUUAAGUUUUUAAAACACAUCUGACUAAUGUCAACACUUUGUUUAGAUUUAAAUAACAUUAGAUGACAUGACAUACAUUUUUCUAUCAUUAAGUAGGGUAGUCAUUUUUUAGCAGUCUGAUGUUUUAUUGAAUGUGUUAAAUUUUUUGCUAGCCUUGAUCUAUGGAAGUAUUUGUUCACAUUUCGGACUGUCCACUUUUCAAAGUUUGACUCCACAGACAGCAGCUUCUACUUCCCAUGACACUAUGUAGACAACAGUUGUGGGGCCACCAAGUUGUGUGUCUAAGUUAAGGAGCUACCAAAAAGUCCUCCUGUGUUUUAUUCAGGAAGGGGUUAAUAUGCAGUACGAUAGGGAGGUAGUGACUGAAAGUCCAAAUUAAACUUAUUUUAAUUUGUUGUAACUAACAUUUUUGUAUUUUGUUUGUGUGAGUAGAAAUAGAUAUCUAUUUUAGAGCUGUGUAGAUAUUUGUUUGAGUAUCAGAGAUUAUUUUGAUUAAGCUCUUUAGAUAUCUCUAAAGAAUUGUAAUGAGCCAUAAAGAUGUCAAAGAGUUCUAGA